ensembl:snRNA U6 U6 spliceosomal RNA
GUGCUUCCUUCGGCAGCACAUAUACUAAAAUUGGAGCAAUACAGAGAUCAGCAUAGUCCCCGUGCAGUGGUGACAGGCAAAUUUGUGAAGUGUUCUGUAUUUUU